rnacentral:rRNA from 1 species
CUCUGUGACUCCUACGGGAGGCAGCAGUGGGGAAGUAUUGCACAAUGGGCGCAAGCCUGAUGCAGCCAUGCCGCGUGUGUGAAGAAGGCCUUCGGGUUGUAAAGCACUUUCAGUUGUGAGGAAGGUGGUGUCGUUAAUAGCGGCAUCAUUUGACGUUAGCAACAGAAGAAGCACCGGCUAACUCCGUGCCAGCAGCCGCGGUAAUACGGAGGGUGCGAGCGUUAAUCGGAAUUACUGGGCGUAAAGCGCAUGCAGGUGGUUUGUUAAGUCAGAUGUGAAAGCCCCGGGGCUCAACCUCGGAACUGCAUUUGAAACUGGCAGACUAGAGUACUGUAGAGGGGGUAGAAUUUCAGGUGUAGCGGUGAAAUGCGUAGAGAUCUGAAGGAAUACCGGUGGCGAAGGCGGCCCCCUGGACAGAUACUGACACUCAGAUGCGAAAGCGUGGGGAGCAAACAGGUUUAGAUACCCUGGUAG